GAUGGGCCUAGGAUAAGGCAAUAAAAACCGUCGAUAUGUGGGGUGAUCGAACCGACUCAUCUACAACUCAUCUUUGAAAACAAGAUGCGCUCCUACGUGAGGAGGGGGGAAAUGAAAGUAAGAACCAUGCGCAUGGAUGAAAGAGCGCGCUUUGAGGGAAGAGGGGAAGAAAGACUAUAGAAAGGCUAAGUGAAGUACUUAUAGGGACUUCUUUAACAUUCUUCUUUCCUCUUCUUGCUUCUCACCUUCUUUCCCUUUCCUCGCAUCCUAAUAUAAUAAAGAUCAAAACGAGUUGCUCCAGGUCCAGAUAUCUCCCUUCGAGAUUGCCAGCAUCAGUCUAAGUAGCUUAAGUUUUU
rnacentral:lncRNA from 1 species